UUUCCGUAGGUGAACCUGCGGAAGGAUCAUUACUGAGUGAGGGCCCCUAGGGUUCCAACCUCCCACCCGUGUUUAACGAACCUUGUUGCUUCGACAGUCCCACCUCCCGGCAGCCGGGGGGCAGCUGCCCCCGGGCCCGCGCCCGCCGACGCCACCUGUGAACGCUGUCUGAAGUAUGCAGUCUGAGACAAUUAUUAAAUUAAUUAAAACUUUCAACAACGGAUCUCUUGGUUCCG
rnacentral:misc_RNA from 1 species